UUCUACAUAAAACACUAACAUAAAAAGUUUGGUUAGUUUAAAGUUUUGUAAAAUAAAAAUAAUGAAAAAUGAAAUGAUGCAACAAACAAUUGCAAUUUGCAAGUAUAUUUAUCUACAGAAUGUGGAAAUAAAGUUUAUCCGAAUUUACUUUAGAUAACUAUGUAUAGAAUCAACCAAAUUUAGUACUUUUAGAACGUUCUGCAAGCUUACAAGUGAAAAUGGUUGUUAUAUUAUGUUGAUAUCAAGACUGCUGCAAUUUCUAUUUAGGAAAUGUGACACUGGAAGGGCCUUAAGCUGACUAGGCCAUGUUCAUACAAUCAAAUUAUAAGGAUAGAGCCUACCUUGAUUAGUGGAUUACUGCGUAGAAUUAGUCCUACCACUAAGCUCGUAGUCCGUAGCCACCAAGUUUAAUUGAUUUGAAGUGCGGUACUCUAUUGGUGGUAUCUGGGGCUUCUACUGAGUGCAAAUGUACCAACCAAGACCACAGAUUCAGGUUUUCAUGUGUUCGGAACCAACGAUAAGCUGCUACUAUAUGUGAAAACCCAUUCCAGUCCAGUACAAAUUGGAGACUAAUGCCAAAACUUGAAAUCGGACACAGCGAAAACCAACCAAGCGGAAAAUUAACCAAACAAACCAACAAAGCAAACAAGCUAACAAGGCCUUGUGAUGUAAUGUGGCCAAAAUUGUAGGUUUCACUUCGAAACUCUGUAAAAUAUCUAGGAAGCUAUAAAUCCCGGUCUUCCUGGUUCCUUAUUUUCAAACCGAUUUGAAAAAUAAGUUCAUACUUCCUAAGAUUACUUCCGAUAAAAUUUGGGGUGUAAAUCCUCUAACUAAGAGAAGUAGGACCUCCUAUCAUAUCACCAGUCAAAUUCCAUCUCAAGGAAGGAAAUGUGGCAAUGUCAGUCAAAUCUGACACUAGGAAAAAUAUAAUUACCAACUCAUGUUUUGAAAUCUGCAUUAAAGCUAGGUUCACCUAUUUGUUUACUAAAUUUUAGGGUACUUUGUGUACUAAUUUACUUCUGGUACUACUGUAACCUUUGACACAAUGACUUGACAAGACAAGGAUGUGACCUUAACCUAUGUUUACCAAUCAUGUAAACAUUGUCUGUAUACAUUUAUUUACUAUAAUUAUUUUUUUGAUUCUUUAAACCAAAGAGGCUUCCUACCUCCAAAGGCUAUAAUAACCAGAACAGAUCUAACCGAACCAACAGAAAGCUUUUACUACCAAAGUAAUCGCUUUCUACAUACUAG